rnacentral:piRNA from 1 species
AGGAUGAUCUUCUACCCUUGACCUU